GACAGAGGGUGCAAGCGUUGUUCGGAAUUACUGGGCGUAAAGCGCGUGUAGGCGGCUAAGUAAGUCGGGCGUGAAAUCCCACGGCUCAACCGUGGAAGUGCACUCGAAACUGCAUAGCUAGAGUCCUGGAGAGGAAGGUGGAAUGCUUGGUGUAGAGGUGAAAUUCGUAGAUAUCAAGCGGAACACCGGUGGCGAAGGCGGCCUUCUGGACAGUGACUGACGCUGAGACGCGAAAGCGUGGGGGGCAAACAGG
rnacentral:rRNA from 1 species